rnacentral:lncRNA from 1 species
GUGCUCUGGUUGGGAUGUAGGGUUUAAGCACAGCCUGAAGGUAGGAAGGGGCAGUUCCUCUUGCUGUUCUGUAGGUAAGCACUAUGGUCUUGUAGUGGAUGCAAGCUUCGACUGGAAGCCACUGGAGUGUACUGGGUGACAUGGGAGACCACAUGCACCAACGUCUAGUAAGUCAGAUCUAGAGAGUGUCUAGUGAGGCAGGUCUGGAGAGGCAGGUCUAGUGAGGCAAGUCUGGAGAGUGUCUAGUGAGGCAGGUUUGGAGAGGCAGGUCUAGUGAGGCAGGUCUAGAGAGUGUCUGGUGAGGCAGGUCUAGAGAGUGUCUAGUGAGGAAGGUCUAGAGAGUGUCUAGUGAGGCAGAUCUAGUGAGGCAGGUCUAGAGAGUGUAUAGUGAGGCAGGUCUAGAGAGUGUCUAGUGAGGCAGGUCUAGAGAGUGUCUGGUGAGGCAGGUCUAGUGAGGCAGGUCUAGAGAGUGUCUAGUGAGGCAGGUCUAGAGAGUGUCUAGUGAGGCAGGUCUAGAGAGUGUCUAGUGAGGCAGGUCUAGAGAGUGUCUAGUGAGGCAGGUCUACAGAGUGUCUGGUGAGGCAGGUCUAGAGAGUGUCUGGUGAGGCAGGUCUAGAGAGUGUCCAGUGAGGCAGGUCUAGAGAGUGUCUAGUGAGGCAGGUCUGGAGAGUGUCUGGUGAGGCAGGUCUAGAGAGUGUCUGGUGAAGCAGGUCUAGAGAGUGUCUGGUGAGGCAGGUCUAGAGAGUGUCUAGUGAGGCAGGUCUAGAGAGUGUCUAGUGAGGCAGGUCUAGAGAGUGUCUGGUGAGGCAGGUCUGGAGAGUGUCUAAUGAGGCAGGUCUAGAGAGUGUCUGGUGAGGCAGGUCUAGAGAGUGUCUAGUGAGGCAGGUGUAGAGAGUGUCUAGUGAGGCAGGUCUAGAGAGUGUCUGGUGAGGCAGGUCUAGAGAGUGUUCGGUGAGGUAGGUCUGGAGAGUGUCUAAUGAGGCAGGUCUAGAGAGUGUCGGGUGAGGCAGGUCUAGAGAGUGUCUGGUGAAGCAGUUGUAGAGAGUGUCUGGUGAGGCAGGUCUAGAGAGUGUCAAGUGAGGCAGGUCUAGAGAGUAUCUAGUGAGGAAGGUCUAGAGAGUCCUGGUGAGGCAGGUCUAGAGAGUGUCUGGUGAGGCAGGUCUAGUUAGGCAGGUCUAGAGAGUGUCUAGUGAGGCAGGUCUAGAGAGUGUCUAGUGAGGCAGGUCUAGAGAGUGUCUGGUGAGGCAGGUCUAGAGAGUGUCUACUGAGGCAGGUCUAGAGAGUGUCUAGUGAGGCAGGUCUAGAGAGUGUCUAGUGAGGCAGGUCUAGAGAGUGUCUGGUGAGGCAGGUCUAGAGAGUGUCUAGUGAGGCAGGUCUAGAGAGUGUCUAGUGAGGCAGGUCUAGAGAGUGUCUGGUGAGGCAGGUCUAGAGAGUGUCUGGUGAGGCAGGUCUAGAGAGUGUUUGGUGAGGCAGGUCUAGAGAGUGUUUGGUGAGGCAGGUCUGGAGAGUGUCUAAUGAGGCAGGUCUGGAGAGUGUCUGGUGAGGCAGGUCUAGAGAGUGUCUGGUGAAGCAGGUCUAGAGAGUGUCUAGUGAGGCAGGUCUAGAGAGUGUCUGGUGAGGCAGGUCUAGAGAGUGUCUGUUGAGGAAGGUCUAGAGAGUGUCUGGUGAGGCAGGUCUAGAGAGUGUCUGGUGAGGCAGAUCUGGAGAGUGUCUGGUGAGGCAGGUCUAGAGAGUGUUUGGUGAGGCAGGUCUGGAGAGUGUCUAAUGAGGAAGGUCUAGAGAGUGUCUGGUGAGGCAGGUCUAGAGAAUGUUUGGUGAAGCAGGUCUAGAGAGUGUCUAGUGAGGCAGGUCUAGAGAGUGUCUGGUGAGGCAGGUCUGGAGAGUGUCUAAUGAGGCAGGUCUAGAGAGUGUCUGGUGAGGCAGGUCUAGAGAGUGUCUAGUGAGGCAGGUGUAGAGAGUGUCUAGUGAGGCAGGUCUAGAGAGUGUCUAGUGAGGCAGG